UCCGUAGGGUGCAAGCGUUGUCCGGAAUUAUUGGGCGUAAAGAGCUCGUAGGCGGUUCGUCGCGUCGGCUGUGAAAUCCCGAGGCUCAACCUCGGGUCUGCAGUCGAUACGGGCGGACUGGAGUUCGGCAGGGGAGACUGGAAUUCCUGGUGUAGCGGUGAAAUGCGCAGAUAUCAGGAGGAACACCGAUGGCGAAGGCAGGUCUCUGGGCCGAUACUGACGCUGAGGAGCGAAAGCGUGGGGAGCGAACAGG
rnacentral:rRNA from 1 species